rnacentral:rRNA from 1 species
CGUAGGAGGCAAGCGUUGUCCGGAUUUAUUGGGCGUAAAGCGCUCGCAGGUGGUCCGUCGCGUCGUGCGUGAAAGGCCCCGGCUCAACUGGGGAGGGUCGUGCGAUACGGGCGGACUGGAGGCCAGUAGGGGGAUGCGGAAUUCCGGGUGUAGUGGUGGAAUGCGUAGAGAUCCGGAGGAACACCAGCGGCGAAGGCGGCAUCCUGGACUGGUCCUGACACUCAGGAGCGAAAGCGUGGGGAGCGAUCCGGAUUAGAUACCCGGGUAGUCCACGCCGUAAACGAUGAGCACUAGGUGUCGGGGGUAUCGACCCCCUCGGUGCCGAAGCUAACGCGAUAAGUGCUCCGCCUGGGGACUACGGCCGCAAGGCUA